UACUAUAGCUUGACACUGAACAUUGAGCCUUGAUGUGUAGGAUAGGUGGGAGGCUUUGAAGUGUGGACGCCAGUCUGCAUGGAGCCGACCUUGAAAUACCACCCUUUAAUGUUUGAUGUUCUAACGUGGACCCGUGAUCCGGGUUGCGGACAGUGUCUGGUGGGUAGUUUGACUGGGGCGGUCUCCUCCUAAAGAGUAACGGAGGAGCACGAAGGUUGGCUAAUCCUGGUCGGACAUCAGGAGGUUAGUGCAAUGGCAUAAGCCAGCUUGACUGCGAGCGUGACGGCGCGAGCAGGUGCGAAAGCAGGUCAUAGUGAUCCGGUGGUUCUGAAUGGAAGGGCCAUCGCUCAACGGAUAAAAGGUACUCCGGGGAUAACAGGCUGAUACCGCCCAAGAGUUCAUAUCGACGGCGGUGUUUGGCACCUCGAUGUCGGCUCAUCACAUCCUGGGGCUGAAGUAGGUCCCAAGGGUAUGGCUGUUCGCCAUUUAAAGUGGUACGCGAGCUGGGUUUAGAACGUCGUGAGACAGUUCGGUCCCUAUCUGCCGUGGGCGCUGGAGAACUGAGGGGGGCUGCUCCUAGUACGAGAGGACCGGAGUGGACGCAUCACUGGUGUUCGGGUUGUCAUGCCAAUGGCACUGCCCGGUAGCUAAAUGCGGAAGAGAUAAGUGCUGAAAGCAUCUAAGCACGAAACUUGCCCCGAGAUGAGUUCUCCCUGAGACUUAGAGUCUCCUGAAGGAACGUUGAAGACGACGACGUUGAUAGGCCGGGUGUGUAAGCGCAGCGAUGCGUUGAGCUAACCGGUACUAAUGAACCGUGAGGCUUAACCUUACAACGCCGAAG
rnacentral:rRNA from 1 species